ensembl:snRNA U6 U6 spliceosomal RNA
AUGCUUAUAUUGGCAGCACAUAUACUAAAAUUGGAAUGAUACAGAGAAGAUUAGCAUGGCCCCUGCUCAAGGAUAACAUGUAAAUUUAUGAAGCAUUUCAUAUUUUU